CAGUAGCCGCGGUAAUACGAGGGGGGCAAGCGUUGUUCGGAAUUAUUGGGCGUAAAGGGCGCGUAGGCGGUUUGACAAGUUUGGUGUGAAAUCUAUGGGCUCAACCCAUAGCCUGCAUCGAAAACUGUCGGGCUUGAGUAUGGGAGAGGUGAGUGGAAUUUCCGGUGUAGCGGUGAAAUGCGUAGAUAUCGGAAGGAACACCUGUGGCGAAAGCGGCUCACUGGACCAUUACUGACGCUGAGGCGCGAAAGCUAGGGGAGCAAACAGGAUUAGAGACCCCAGUAGUCCCUGUCUCUUAUAC
rnacentral:rRNA from 1 species